rnacentral:rRNA from 1 species
GACGAACGCUGGCGGCGUGCCUAAUACAUGCAAGUCGAGCGGACUUUCAAGAAGCUUGCUUUUUGAAAGUUAGCGGCGGACGGGUGAGUAACACGUGGGCAACCUGCCUGCAAGACGGGGAUAACUCCGGGAAACCGGGGCUAAUACCGGAUAAUAUCUUCCUUCGCAUGAAGGAAGGUUGAAAGGCGGCGCACGCUGCCGCUUGCAGAUGGGCCCGCGGCGCAUUAGCUAGUUGGUGAGGUAACGGCUCACCAAGGCGACGAUGCGUAGCCGACCUGAGAGGGUGAUCGGCCACACUGGGACUGAGACACGGCCCAGACUCCUACGGGAGGCAGCAGUAGGGAAUCUUCCGCAAUGGACGAAAGGCUGACGGAGCAACGCCGCGGGAGCGAAGAAGGUCUUCGGAUCGUAAAGCUCGGUUGUCAGGGAAGAACAAGUACCGUUCGAACAGGGCGGUACCUUGACGGUACCUGACCAGAAAGCCACGGCUAACUACGUG